GGGCCCGCACAAGCGGUGGAGCAUGUGGUUUAAUUCGAUGCAACGCGAAGAACCUUACCUGCCCUUGACAUCCUCGGAAGGGACCGGAAACGGACCCGUGCCUUCGGGAACCGAGAGACAGGUGCUGCAUGGCUGUCGUCAGCUCGUGUCGUGAGAUGUUGGGUUAAGUCCCGUAACGAGCGCAACCCCUAUCCUUAGUUGCCAGCGAGUAAUGUCGGGGACUCUAAGAAGACUGCCAGCGUAAGCUGAGAGGAAGGCGGGGACGACGUCAAGUCAUCAUGGCCCUUACGCCUAGGGCUACACACGUGCUACAAUGGUCGGUACAGAGGGUUGCGAACCUGUGAGGGUAAGCCAAUCUCAAAAAGCCGAUCUCAGUUCGGAUUGGAGUCUGCAACUCGACUCCAUGAAGUCGGAAUCGCUAGUAA
rnacentral:rRNA from 1 species